rnacentral:lncRNA from 1 species
CCCAAAGCAAAACAUCUCGAGCAUCUCUGUUGGUGUCCUGGCCUACCAGUCUUUGUUAACCAGUAUCUACACAAAUCGAUUCUUCACCUUUCUUUCCCCCUUGGCCCUUCUUCUGACCUUUUGUUCCUUUCUUGCCACCUCUCUCCAAAAAACUUUUGAAAUGCUUAUGUUUUGGCCUACCAGCUUUCCUAGUUAUCAAGGGAAAAAAAAAAUCAAAUCCUAGGUCCCCUUCAGGCCAUUGUUACUGAUCAAUUAAUGGCUCAAUAACUCCGGCAUAUGCUGCCCUAAAUCGCUCAAUUGAGUAAUACUCAUGCAGAAAUUCACCCAUCAUCA